rnacentral:tRNA from 1 species
GCACCAGAACAACGGAUAAGAGCGCCGGCCUCCGAAGCCGGAGGGUGCAGGUUCAAUCCCUGCCGGGCA